GGCCCUACGGGGUGCACCAGUCGCGAAAACUUCACAAUGGGGGCAACCCCGAUGAGGGAAUUCCUAAUGCUAGCACAUUUGUGUUAGCUUUUCUUUAGCGUAGAUAACUAGAGGAAUAAGGGCUGGGAAAGACGGGUGCCAGCCGCCGCGGUAA
rnacentral:rRNA from 1 species